UCAACCUCUCAAGCUUGGCUUGUCGUUGGACCUUGCAGAUGCCGGUAGUCGGCGAUGGCAGGUCUUUAACCUAAUGGCGGAGUUCGGUGAGGACCCCGGAUACAACGAGCUUUUUCUAGCAUGUAUCAAGGUGGCUCACCGACCUUGCCUCGUCGAAAAGUCCUAACCAU
rnacentral:misc_RNA from 1 species